rnacentral:ribozyme from 1 species
GUGACAUCAUUGUUAGUAUGAUUGGUCAGCUACUAGGGAUAGUGAUCUUACGUCUAUUAUU